CUGGCUCAGGACGAACGCUGGCGGCGUGCCUAAUACAUGCAAGUCGAACGGUCUUUCUAUGGAAGCUUGCUUCCACUGAGAAGAUAGUGGCGAACGGGUGAGUAACACGUGGGUAACCUGCCCAUAAGAGGGGGGAUAACAUCCGGAAACGGGUGCUAAUACCGCAUAGUUCUCUUGAUCGCAUGAUCGGGAAAGGAAAGACGGCCUUUGUGCUGUCGCUUAUGGAUGGACCCGCGGCGUAUUAGUUAGUUGGUGAGGUAACGGCUCACCAAGACGAUGAUACGUAGCCGACCUGAGAGGGUGAUCGGCCACAUUGGGACUGAGACACGGCCCAAACUCCUACGGGAGGCAGCAGUAGGGAAUCUUCCGCAAUGGACGAAAGUCUGACGGAGCAACGCCGCGUGAGUGAAAGAAGGUUUUCGGAUCGUAAAACUCUGUUGUCAGAGAAGAACAAGUUGGAGAGUAACUGCUCCAGCCUUGACGGUAUCUGACCAGAAAGCCACGGCUAACUACGUGCCAGCCGCCGC
rnacentral:rRNA from 1 species